UAUAUUUUUCUCAAUGAACACAAAUAAGAAAGUUGAGCAAACUCAGUAUUUUUAUUUCUUCAUUUGAGCGGUCAACUUGACAUUAUUGCGCAUGCGCAAAGUGCCGUCGCUGAACUAUACAAGGAGUUUACAGCUUCAAACAUAAACAACGAUGGCAAAGGGAGUGGAUGUCUUCUUUUAAGGACACAAAGCCAGAGGAUGUCCACACCAAGGGUAUGAAGAUGAGCAUCUUAACUAUUACUGGAAGAUGAUGUUGUCAUCCACUCAAACCUAAAGGUGCCUAGGAUGUAGUACUAGAGACGCAGAUUGUGUUGGAAUAUAUACAUGGCCUUACCACUGCUGUUGCUGUCCUCUUUGGCUUAAUUUAGAUCAUCCAAAAAAAUGAAAAUUCUGUCAUCAUUUACUCACAGCCAUGUCGAUCCAAACCCAUAAGACAUUUGUUCAUCUUUAAUACACAAAUGAAGAUAUUUUUAAUGAAACCUGAGAUAUUUCUGUCCAUUCACUGAAAAACUAUUCACCUAAAAUUCUGAUGCUUCAAAAUGUUCAUAAAGAGAUUGUAAAACAAAUACAGAAGAAUGGAAUGGUUUAAACAAAGUCUUCUGAAGACACGUGAUCACAUUACACAUCACGCAUUUCACACUAAAUGCUGCUCCAUCUCUGCAAGUGCUGUGAGUUUGAGCCUUAUAUAACAUGUAUUAAAAAAAAACCCCAGAAAUUGUAUUAUAUUUUAGUUUUCUAUACAGUGAUAGCUUAAAAGCUAUGUCAGUUAGCACUGCAUUAUAAGUACACUCUAAAAAGAUGGUUCUUUAAAGGUCUAUUUAGAACCGAGUUUAGGGUUUUUUUUUUUAAUUCCUGGCCUUUAAAAAAAAAAAAAAAAAAAAAAAUUGUAACUGUCAAAACACCUCAUUACUCAUUUUCUGGACAUCAACUAUCCAGCUACACAGACUAUCAACACAGUUUCAACAGGUUCUUUUUUGUGUGACAAGCUCUGUUCGGUUAAGGAUACUCUCUUCUCCACUAAGUAAUAGAGAUGCAUCAUAUUCACAACCUCAUCAUCUGCAAAGAAACUGCCACUCAAUCACACCACAUUGAUGGGCUUAAAGGCAUCACAGAGGAUCCUGAAGAUACAUUAUUCCUGGAAAUUUUGUCAUUUAUUUUCUAUUUCUAUUUUUACUUUCUGAUGUAUUUUUUCAUGUUCAUUGUCAACUGUCAUUUAUUAUUUGUAUUUAGCCAAUAACUGUUUUUAGAGCAUUUUCAUUUUUGCUUCAAGUUCAUGUCAAUUAAAAAAAAUAAAAGUACCUAACUGAAACUACAUGCUGUUUUGUUUAGUUUUUGUGUGAGUGUGUAAAACCCUAAUACAGGCUAAAAUACAUUAUAGGAAAAACAAAAAUGUUAAUAGAUAAUAUAUGUAAAUAAUAUUAAUAAGUAAAACUAGUAUCAAAGUUAUAAAUAUACUAAUAUUAAUGAAAAUAAACUAUUUUCAAAUGUACUAUUUUCUAAAUCCUAUUUCAUGCAUCCCUACAAUUGCGUCUCUUCAGGAGACUUAAACUGCUCAAUUCAUAUUAACUUAUAUAUUUAUUUAAUUAUUUAUGAUCUCUUUAUGAACGCUUUGAAGUUUUGGGUGAACAGCCUUUCAAUACAGAAGUCUCUCAAAUUUCAUUAAAAUAUUUUAAUUUGUGUUGAGUGUGAACAACGGUUUAGAACAACAUGGGAGUGAGUAAAUGAUAAAUUUUCAGAAUAAUUUUGGUUGAAUUAUUCCUUUAAGUGUUGUGUUAAUAGUUGAAAUAUUUUGCUUCUUGAUCCAGUGUGUUUGUUGCAUUAUGGAUGUGCCAAAAUAAUAGAUAGAGCAAGAUGAACGUUUAAAAUGACGGUAAAGUUUAGCUUCCUUUAAAUUAUAUAAAAGUUUUUUUGUGACUUUUGAUUUAAAACUUUACUUAAGGCUGCAGAAUUUUAAUAUUUUUAAUGUUACA